rnacentral:rRNA from 1 species
AUUGAACGCUGGCGGCAGGCCUAACACAUGCAAGUCGAACGAGUGGCGGACGGGUGAGUAAUGUCUGGGAAACUGCCUGAUGGAGGGGGAUAACUACUGGAAACGGUAGCUAAUACCGCAUACCAUCAGAUGUGCCCAGAUGGGAUUAGCUUGUUGGUGGGGUAAAGGCUCACCAAGGCGACGAUCCCUAGCUGGUCUGAGAGGAUGACCAGCAACACGGGAACUGGGAAACGGCCCAGACUCCUACGGGGGGCAGCAGUGGGGAAUAUUGCACAAGGGGCGAAAGCCUGAUGCAGCCAUGCGGCGUGUAUGAAGAAGGCCUUCGGGUUGUAAAGUACUUUCAGCGGGGAGGCGUUACCCGCAGAGGAAGCACCGGCUAACUCCGUGCCAGCCGCCGCGGUAAUUC